AGGUUUGCCUGACUUCCGGUCCACAGUAUUGUCAAUGACGCUCUUUGACGAGAUUUUUGGCCAAAGUUUUCGCCUUUAAGUUUAAAGAUGAGGAGAAACCUUUGAAAAAGACCCCACUACAUGUAUCUGAUUUAUAUGGUCCGAGGAUUUCAGAAUGGAGGGAUAGGGAAUUACAACUAUCCCGACUGCACGAGGAAAUAGUGGGAAAACGCGAGAGUCAUCUAAAUUAUAGUUUAGCUUAUGCACAGAACAGAGCAAAGAGACUUCAAACAAACCAGCUAGUAGAUAUCGAAAAAUCCCGACAAAGGAAUGAAAAAUACUUACAGGAUGUUAUGCUAAUAAGUGAGAAUUUGAGAGUAGAUGAAAGCAACCCAGUAAGCCCUAGACUGGCCACUCUUCAGGUUGGUUUGAUAGAGAUCUCUUGACCUUGAACAACACCAAAGCAUUUGAUAAUGAAAAUCAAUGAUUUCUAAUUUUUGUUUGUGAUGUACUUCAAUUAAAUUUAUCUAUAGUAUUAUAAAUAUUUUACUUUUUUGUUCCAUCUAAUGUCCAAUACUUUAGUUUGUUAUGCACCUAAAAAAAAAGUUAAUGCAAUUUAUGACCAGUUGUAGGUGCAAACGCACUUCUGAAUCAAUUAACUCAACUUCUUCAUUUUUUGUCAGCUCUGAAUCUGUUGGAGUAAGGAAAAAUUUAUGUUUAUGCCUUGUGUAUUAUCUAAUUAUGGAUUCGUUUUGGUGAUGGAUUUCCAAGCGCUUUCACACAAGAAAAAGAAACCUUAAUUUGCCAGAAUAAUGCUUUCAUCUUUUUUUUUAAUUAGUGGAAUUGUUUGUAGUGCUAGCAGCUGCAGGUACAUUCAAAGAUGAAUUUAUGCAUAUAAACAUCAUCAUUCAUGCAAAUAAAAACCAAUUCAAAAUGUAAAAAUUUUUUGGGGGAAAAAUGAAUGGGGGCAGGGGCAAUACCAGGUAGUGCAAGAUCUCAUAAAUCCACCAGCAUUAAUUUCAAGGCUACCGAGCCUAACAUUGCCAAACAGACUGUGCAAAAACCCAAGAGAAAGUCUAUAUCAAAGAAAAAUAAAACAAAAUAUCAAAGUCUUUAACAUUUGAACCAUCAAGUACUUUACAAUUAUCAGAUUACUUCGAGCUUUCAAUGUAGAAAUGUGAAUUAUAAAACGGCUGUUGUUCUACUACCGGAAAGUUUUAAAUGUUUCAAAUAGAAUUACUUGAAAGUUUUCCUCUUUCCAUUAAUUUGCAGUCAAAUUACUGGGCCAUGGUUAAAAGCCUCAAACCAUUGUGGGAAGAAAAUCUACAACCAACCAACCUUAGGUCAUCUAGGACAGAACUCAGGGGUACACCCAGGGCAGAAUCCCUCAACAGCACUCGGGGGCAGCAAACGGGGGCAGGGGCAAUACCGGGAAGUGCACGAUCUCAGAAAUCCACCAGCGUUAAUUUCAGGGCUACCGAGCCUAACAUUGCCAAACAGACUGUGCAAAAACCUGAGAGAAAGUCUAUAUC
rnacentral:misc_RNA from 1 species